UUUCCGUAGGUGAACCUGCGGAAGGAUCAUUAUUGUAUAGCCGAGGUGCGAGGGCUGUCGCUGACCCGAAAGGUCGUGCACGCCCGAGUGCCCUCACACACAUCCAUCUCACCCCUAUGUGCACCACCGCGUGGGUCCCCCUUUGGCUUGUUCGGAGGGGGGCUUACGUUUUCACACAAACUUUGUAUGCAGUGUAGAAUGUAUUUUUUGUUUUUGCGAUCACGCAAUCAAUACAACUUUCAACAACGGAUCUCUUGGCUCUU
rnacentral:misc_RNA from 1 species